GGCCACCUGAGCACACUGCUGGCUCAUAUUCAGCCGACUAUCAACUCCUCUGUUUUCACAGCAGAAAUCAAGUUUAAGGAACUAUCUGAAACAGAUAAUAAUUCUGGCUUUACAUCUAUUAAUGUAGAGGAUGCUUGGUGGAAAUUAUUUGGUCUGCUUGUUUGUUUUGGGGUUUUUGUUUGUUUGGUUGGUUUGGUUUUGCAAAUGGGUAAUCACAAUUAGAAAAGCAAGGGAGAUAUAGUAUUAAAUAAAUUUUUCAUUCAUUUGAAAAGCUAUGCUUUAUUUUCAUUGAUUUAUAAUGUUCCUUAACUCAUUACUACAUGCAGAGCAAUAUGUUUCCUAAACACAUCGUAGAGAAGAUAUAAAUGAGAGAUUGCUGUAUGAAUUUUCCAUGUCUGAGAAAUGGAAAGAAAAAAAAUCUCUUUCUGAGAAGCUAUAUGGUACAUGGAUUUGUAAGGUUCUACUAUAUUUUAAUAACUAUGAAUGAUCUCCUAGUGAGAACCAUCAUUUUACUAAUAGUUCCCAGCAGGAUAUCCACCUAGGCACUGUAGAUUUGGAGGUAGAGAUGGAAGCUUUUGUUUGAAUUCAAACCACAGCAGGAGCCAUUCAUACUUUAGAAACUAAUUCCCAUUUUUAUUAUCGCUAUUUUUAAUUUUGCUUAAUUUAAUGGUGGUUAAAAUGUAUAGAUACUACAAAAUUGCCUGACUUUUCUUGCUUUGUGUUAGGAAAAAAAAAAAAAAAAUCACACAAAAGAGCUUCCCAUAUGCCUUAAGCUAUAUUUUCUUACUUAUCUCUGUUUGACAGCAACACUUUGAGGCAUUUGCUGAGAUCAUGACUGUGGCUUGUUGUGAAUUUUUCUCCGUUUUUUCCCCCCUCUAAUUGGAAAACUAAUUCAACAACACUUUGUGGCAUCUUUAUAAGUUUCAACAAAAGGAAACUUGCUAUAUACAAAACUGACUUUCUGGUUGGUAGGUGAGGUUACAACUACAAGUAAUUUCAUCUGUUCUGCACUCACCCAGCAUACAAAGGAUUUGGACUCAAAUCCUCCAUCUGAGAAGGUUUUCUGGCUUGUAUGUGCAGUUGAAUGAGCAACCCCUUUUUCUUGACAGGAAGGAUAUCUCUUCCUGAAGACCACCAGUGUUUGGGUCUUGAAAGAACAUUAACUGAAGCAAGCUACCACAUCAGCUGGUACCCUACAAUCACAAUUAACUCUGCUGUAAUGAAUACCUUCCCUCUCCUUCCAGCCGCUCCAUUUCUACUCCACUUCCAUUUCUGUGGGCAAUCAGUCCUCACCUGUAGCCCCAGGCUGCUCUGACUUUUCAUGCAGUGACAAGUCACUCUGAACACAAGGUGAUGAUGUCCUUCCGCAGGGAAUCUGUAUCUGAGAUGUGAAAACAAUUUAAAACUAGAGCUCCCAGUUGAAGCCUUUAUACAGUUGGUCUUCUCAGCUGUAUAAAUGAAGUUGAAAUGGGAGUUGAGGUUUCACAGCAACAGCUGAAGUGAAUAUCUGGGCUUCUCCUGUGUUUUUUUUUUUUUUUUUUUUUUUUUUUUCCCCAAUAAAUAAAUAAAUAAAUAAAUAAAUUGGAAGGUGGAUAUGUAAAUUCAUCUCCUUGAUCUUUUAAACUUACUGACAUCCUUCAACACAUGGCUGCCAAUAUGGCAGCCUUUUGGAUGACUUUCUUUCCAAGCUUCUGGACUGUUCAGCUAAGGAGGUGUGUAAGAGCAGAUGUUAAAGCCAGUAGUUUUCCAUAACACUGGUAACAACUGGUAACAUCUGAUGCCAUUAGGCAUCUGAUAGAGACCAGACAAUUAGAUUUUUUUCCCCUUGACUUUUGUAUGUCAUGUUUUUAUUACAUGGCUUGAGAAAAUAAAUAAUAAUUAUUAUUAUUAAUAAAAAAGUAAUAAAUCAGCAAAAGUGAAGUAAAGCCUUCACAAUCCUUCCUACCUCUCAGUCUGAGUCUCUGUAAAGCUUUUGUUUUCUUCUCUAAGCAAAUCACAGCAUAGAGAAAUCAGAUGUGUGAAAUUCUCCUCAUCUGAAAGAUUCAAGAAGCUAUGAUGUAUUCCACCACGAUCAGGAAAAGCUGUUAGUUCAUGUUAUUCAGAAUUUAAUAACUCUUUGAUUCAUGCUCGAAGGGAUGGUUUGGGACAAAUAGCACAAUGCCCUGUGAAACUGCAGGCCCAUGUUUUGACAGGCCUGUAAUAAAGCUAGGUCAUAUGUGUGUGAAUAUUCCAGCCAGAAACUACUCAGUGGCCACGUUAGAUAUAACAUAAAAGGACAUAUUAGAAAGGAGGCUUUCCCUGCAAAGCCCAAGUCUUUGGAGUCAGUGAAAACUCUAUUUCACAAGUGUUUUUGUUAGCAUACAGAAAAAGAAAAAAAAAUAAACCUAUUUAAAAACAUUUAAAUUUUAAAAUUUAUAAACCUACAUGUAUUUAAAACAUAUAUCACAGAAGAAACAUACAUCAAUAAGUCACUGACUGAAAUAAGCUGUCUGCAAUAAAUAUUUUCUUGUAGGAAAAUGCCAAGGCGUGCAGGACAAGAGACAAUAGAUCACACAAUCAAUAACAGCAACAACAAUGACAAUGUGCUUUUUACAUUAAAAUAAAUAAAUAAAUAAACAAAAUUUCUGAUGAAAGAAACAAUAUGUGGUUGGUGUUGAUGCAGAUUCUGUUGUUUGUCAGACUCUUUAACAUAUAAUUUUCAGACAUACAAGUGUACGUUAUAAAAUUAGCUCAUAUAUUACAUCAGACUAAGUAAAAAAAACAACCACACGUUUUGAAAUAUAUAUUUUGGCAUUUGAAGCAAGACCGUCUACUAGAGAAUGCUCAGUCAAAAACAGAAAAUGGAGAUAUUCAUUUUCCAAAAUAUUUAAAGGAAAAAAAUAAUCAAAAAACAAACAAUCAAACAAAACACUUUCUCCUUAAUUUAAAGCAUGUGUGUUGUCCUAAGAUGGUAGUAUGCAUGUACAUGAGUCCAUUUUCAGAAAUUCCUGACUCAGUCAGGGUACUUAGAGACAAGAUUUUAAGUUCUUUUUCCAGAUGCAUUUUACUAUUUGGUUGUAGGCUGAGCUGUUUUAUUACACAGUACUUCAGAAUGUUUUAACGUUUUAGGCAAAAUAAACUCAAUUUGCUAGAACAGAGUCCAUUCAAAUCAUUUUUACCUUUAGCAAAUCAGUUUGCCUCAUAAAGGAUUGAGGACAAUGCACAAUUUGUAAAGAACUUCUAUUUUAGGAAAUAUCCUAUGCCAAAUUAAUGUAACUAAGUUACAUUUGGCCCAUCUGAAAAAUUUAAUCCAUUCUCCCACUAAGUAAGAUUUUUAUAUAUAUGAAAGCACAGAUUUACCAUUGUUCAACAUUUGAUCAAAUUGGUUUUUUAUCUGAGCAGUAACUGAAUCUACAAAAGCUGACAACGAAUACUGACAAAAUGAUACCCUGACUGAGUCCAUGUUCUCACCUUCUGUUUUAGGGUUCUCAGGGGAAAAUCUGAAGGAAUUUUAGACUAAUGACAAAUGGUUUUAAAUAAAAUAAUAAGGGCAAAAAACACUUAAGGCAAAAAGAAUAAGGCAAAAAAAAA